rnacentral:lncRNA from 1 species
CUUCUUCAAGCCGGGAACUCAAGAAAGAAAAGCAAGGAACAAUCAGAGAAUCCAAGAGGAGAAAAAGCUGCCCUACAGCACUCGACAGGAUUGAAGAAUUCACUCCACCGAACUUUUCCUUCACUUUUGACUCCCAAUUCAGCACCUAUUCUCAAGAAUUCACACCCAAAUUCGGAUCUUUCAACUUGGUGCCAUCAACCAAAGAAAGAUUGGAUGAUACUGUUCUCUGUUUUCAUCAGAGCUCAGAAAACAAAGAAGGCCAUCAAGAAGAUAAGCAGCAGGUAGGGGUUAGUGAAGAAAGAGUGGUCGGUGUUAGCACAUUGAGGAGGUCCAUUGAUGGGAUUAGAGAGAAGAAGUGAGAGAGUAGAGAAUAAUUUGGGAUAUUUUUCAUCUCAUGUAUGAUUAGAUUAGAGAGAGUGUGCUUGAAGAACAUAAUGUUUCAUGUAAUGGAAUCAAAAAGGGUAAUAAUUCUGUCUUCGAUCAUUGUUUCUCAACGAGCAUCAAAGCAUCCUUCUUUAUCUUUCUUGUCUUUAAUUUUCUUUCUUUAGGUGGACUAGGCUGGCAGUUUGAGUGGGUCAUCAUCACUUACCAGGUGCAGUCCACGUCCACGUGCGGCCUUCAAUUAUUUGGCUUAUUUAUUAUUCCUUUUUUAAGACCUUCAACCAUGAUGUGGUGGAGGGUGGAGUUUGGAGGGUCAUAUGGUGGGGUUUCAGAAAGCAUAAAUGGCUGGGUCACGUAGAUGUCAAAAAGAAAGGA